rnacentral:lncRNA from 1 species
AUGUGUAUCGCUAUGGCUCGCGGAGUUUUCUUCGUUCAACCAUACCAGUUUGACCCAGAAUCGGACCCAGAAGGAGAGGCUCCUAGAGAAGUACAGACUCUGCGGCUGCAGCAGGACGUUUCCGAAGGGCAACGUCUGGUGGCACGGAAGAGGGAUGGAAAAGAAAGAAACAACCUCAAGAGGCAAAUAGAAGAGCUUAAGGAAGAAGUUGAAAAAGAAAGGAAAAAGGAAAAAUACAAAAAGAGUUGCCAACGUUUAAGGAAACAAUCUGAUUCACCACAGUCAAAGCUUGAUCGACAGCCACAACACUCGAUGAGCCAGGCAGAAGGGACUAACUUUGAUGGGUGUUCGCAAGCAGCAACCAACCAAUCCGGCAUACUUGCUCAACCAUCGUUGCUCUUGUUGAAGCAGGGAGAAGGGGCCAACUUUGAUGGGAUUUUACAAACAGCAACCAACAAAUCCUGCAUUUUUGCUCGACCACCACUCCUCUCACUGAGUCAGGCAGAAGGGGCCAACUUUGAUGGGUGUUUACAAACAGCAACCAAUAAAUCCAGCAUAUUCACUCAACCACAGCUGCUCUUGCUGAGCCGAGGAGAAGGGGCCAACUUCCAGUUGUUGCAAACAGCAACCAACCAAUCCUGCAUAAGCACCGCUGCCAGCACCUGUCCAAUUUCUCCAACUGUCAGAGACGUCGCCUGCCAGACUGAUCCUCCAAAGAGAAUAUCUGUCGGCACACAGCUCUCCAUGAAAACUCUGCAGAGUCACUUCCGCAGUAAAGGUAUCCAGGCGAAAGCGGCCAGCAGAGAUUGCGGCGUGUGCACCCUCACCUUCCCUUUGGACAGUCCAUUACUGUUCCUUCAACCAACAAUAGUAAAGAGACCAUCCAAGAGACCUCGACUCAGCCUCACAGAUGAAGGGGAAGGCCCUUGCUUGUCUAUGGUGGUAAAUGAAUCCGAUGAUUCAAUAUGA